rnacentral:snRNA from 1 species
GUGCUCGCUUAGGCAGCACAUAUACUAAAAUUGGAACGAUACAGAGAAGAUUAGCAUGGCCCCUGCAUAAUGGA